AAGCGAGUUGCCAGGGAUGGGCUAAAGAGAUGGGGAGGAAAUUGAGGCUGAAGGGCUUGUGGGGGCCAUUGCCUGUCUUUAAGCGCCAUGGAGCCAGCUCCAGUCCAGCUCCUGAUGAGAUCAGAAGCCUGAUGCUCUCAGCUCUCAGAGCCAACUGAUGCCUCCUGCCCAGUAUCCAGGGUACAGGUGAGGGUGUUGGUUUCUGCAUCUAGGCCCCUAGGUGUUCUCAGGAAAUGAAAUGGCACAUGACUGUCAUCAACGCCACAGGCCCUCAACUGGUGAAAAAUGUGACCAUGGGGCCAUUCAUGAUGUUCUACAGUUCAACAUUUGAGAAAACUGAUCCACUCGAUGGGAUUUUGCAGUCAUUUUAAAUGAUGUUUACAGGAAGAUUAUAACAGUAUGGUGGAAUGCUUUGUAAAUAAAAAGUAUGUAAAAUUGUA